UACGUAGGGUGCAAGCGUUUGUCCGGAAUUAUUGGGCGUAAAGAGCUCGUAGGCGGUUUGUUGCGUCGGCUGUGAAAUCCCGAGGCUCAACCUCGGGUCUGCAGUCGAUACGAGCAAACUAGAGUGUUGCAGGGGGAGACUGGAAUUCCUGGUGUAGCGGUGAAAUGCGCAGAUAUCAGGGAGGAAACACCGGUGGCGAAGGCGCCGCUCUGGGCCGUAACUGACGCUGAGGAGCGAAAAGCAUGGGUAGCAAAACAGG
rnacentral:rRNA from 1 species